UCAAGGUGAAAGGGUCAGUAGAGUCUUUGGCCUCAACAGGAGAAGAAGUAAGCCAUGAUCAGCCAAUGGCUUUUAUAUUGGAUAGUUUGGGUUAAGAAUAUCACACAUUACUAACAACAAUCAGAUCAAGAAACCUUUGAAGAACUUACUGAUCUCUUAAUCAGUGAGGAAAAUUUAACGAAAAGGUUAAAUGAUGACAAUCAGGUGAGUGCCUUUGCAGCAAAUCAUCAUGGUAGAGGGGUAAACAAUUAUUAUCAAGGAAGAGGAAGAAAUCAGUAUAACAACUACAACCCCAACCAGUACAAUUAACCCCAAUCAGUUCAACAAUUAUAAUUCCAAUCAAUAUAAUCCAAAUCAGUACAACUUCAAUCCUUCAUAUACUAAUCAGUACUAUCAGUCACAACCUUCAUUCAAUCAGCCUUUGAAUCAUAGACCAAAGUAUUUUUCACCACAAUUUUAUCAAUUUCCACCACAUAAUCAAUCCUAUAACAGUCCUAGUUAUCCCACACCAAGGGCAUAUUCAUCUUCACAACCAAGAUAUUCUACACAAUCAAAUAGCAGGACAAAAAAUCUACCUUCACCACCUAGCCAGUUGCCAUCUUUAUUAUCAGUCCCUCCAUCUAUUGAUCAGACUCUAGUUUGUCAAAUCUGUGACAAAAAAGGGCAUCUGGUCAAACAUUGUCCAGACAGGAGUAAUUUUGCUUCAUAUAUGAUACUUCAGUUCAUCCACAGUUUCGUAACAAUUUCCUAUUCACUAUGUACGGAUUCUGGAAAUACCUCGAGAUCCCGUCCCGCGUUGUACAUGAUGUAAUGGUCGACGAAUAACUAAAGAUAAACUAUCAAAUAUUUGACAGAUGACAAUUCAACGACCAGAAUAAAAUGACACAUCAUGGCUCGGAUUAUCAGAAUCGUCAACCCCAAAACUCCUUGUAAUCUCAAAAUAACUUUUG
rnacentral:lncRNA from 1 species